UUGUAUUUGAAAAAUUCAAAGAGAAGGGGCAAACAGAGAAGAGAGAAAAUGGCUACUCUGAGUAUUCCUCCAGUUUUAACUACGCCUCGUGAUGACGCCAUGCACCUAUACAAAGCUUUCAAAGGAUUUGGAUGUGAUAAAGCAGCAGUCAUUAACAUCCUUUCCCACCGUGAUGCUACUCAGCGUGCUCUUAUUCAACAGGAAUACAGAACUAUGUAUUCUGAAGAUCUAAAUAAACGCUUGGUCAAAGAGCUUAGCGGUAAACUUGAGAAAGCAAUCUUGCUUUGGAUGUAUGAUCCAGCCGGAAGGGAUGCUAUCCUAGUAAGGAAAGCUUUGAGUGCUGACGCCAUUGAUCUCAGAGCUGCCACUGAAGUGAUAUGUUCACGGACUCCUUCUCAAAUAGUACAUUUCAAACAACUUUACCAUUCCAUGAAUGGCAUCUACCUUGAGCAUGAUAUUGAGCUUCACGCAUCUGGUGAUCACAAAAAGUUGCUUCUAGCAUAUGUAAGCACAAUGCGCUAUGAAGGCCCAGAAGUUGACAGAGCUUCGGUUGAUCAUGAUGCUAAAGCUCUUUACAAAGCUGGGGAGAAGAAACUGGGAACUGAUGAGAAGACUUUUAUACGAAUUUUCUCUGAAAGAAGUAGGGCACACUUGGCUGCUGUUAGUUCUGCUUAUCACAGCAUGUAUUCCAGGAAGUUAAAAAAGGCUGUAAAAAGUGAAACCUCUGGACUCUUUGAGUUUGCUCUCUUGACUAUUUUGCAAUGUGCUGAGAAUCCAGCAAUAUACUUUGCAAAGGAGUUACACAAGGCAAUGAAGGGCUUGGGGACGAAUGAUACAACUCUCAUAAGGAUAAUAGUCACGCGAACUGAGAUUGAUAUGCAGUAUAUAAAAGCAGAGUACCAGAAAAAGUAUAAGAAAUCUCUUAAUGAUGCUGUUCAUUCGGAGACUUCUGGUGAUUAUCGGACCUUUCUUCUAUCUCUCCUGGGGCCUGGUCACUGAAUGAAGAGUCUACGCCAUGCAACAGGUGUUAUUAGUGUGGUAUUAGUGUUGAAACUAGUGUGUAAGCAGUUUCUGUUGCAUGCUAAUUAUUGUUUGCUUAUAUGCUGAGUAGUUGAUUUGGAACAAUGUCUGUCCAUGAUCAGUUGGAUACCUUUUUUAGUUUAGUCGAAUGCUAAGUGUGAAUGGUGUUGUGAAGAUGCUUUCAGAUAUACACUUAUUUGGGUAUGUUUGG
rnacentral:misc_RNA from 1 species